rnacentral:rRNA from 1 species
ACUUACGGCCAUGCCACCCUGAACACGCCCGAUCUCGACUGAUCUCGGAAACUAAGCAGGGUCGGGCCUGCGUAGUACUUGGAUGGUAGACCGCCUGGGAAUACCAGGUGCUGUUAGCAUUU